AGCAACGACCACCAACGGUUACCAACUGACUGAAAAUGUUCACCACCGGAGCAGCAACAGCAUCAUCUUCACCCUUCUCCAUGUCCCCUUUUCCUCAACCACCGUGCACGUUAGCAUCUAGCAGAGCUUCAUUCAUAUCGCCAUUGUUAGGGUUAGGGUUUCAAUCUCAGAAACUCAACUCAGUCACCUAUCAUAGGAGCAGCAAAAGGAUUUCAAUUAGAGCUGCGCGAACAGAAUCCAGUGGAGUUUCUCUAGGGUUUCGAGCUCCUGAUUUUGAGCUGCCGGAGCCAUUGACAGGGAGGAGUUGGUCAUUGCAAGAUUUCGAAGUUUAUCCGGCUUUAUUGGUUAUGUUUAUCUGCAAUCACUGCCCAUUUGUCAUACAUUUGAAGAAGGAUAUUGUGAAGCUUUCAAAUUUCUACAUGAAGAAGGGACUUGCAGUUGUUGCAAUAUCUUCCAACUCCGCUGUUACUCAUCCACAGGAUGGACCAGAAUUUAUGGCAGAAGAUGCUAAAGUACACGGUUAUCCAUUCCCUUAUCUAUAUGAUGAGUCUCAAGAUGUCGCACGUGAUUUUGGAGCAGUUUGCACACCAGAGUUUUUCUUGUUUAAAAAGGUGGGGCGGAGGCCAUUUGAGCUCGUGUAUCAUGGACAGUUUGAUGACUCUAGACCAAGUAAUAAUGUGCGCAUUACUGGGAGGGAUUUGAGCAUGGCAAUCGACUAUGUUCUCAGCGGUCAACCUGUUACCUCUCUUCAAAAACCCAGUGUUGGAUGUAGCAUCAAGUGGCAUCCUGAGGUGAAGCAAUAAUGAUAAAUUCUUUAGAAUUCGGGAAUGAUAGUUUACAACCAUGACUUUUCCUUCAGCAGGAAAUGAAUUCUGAUAGCAAAAAGUUUCAUCCUCAUGGAUUGUACGUCAAGGUCCGGAGAAUGUUUCAAAUUCUGUGCUAUCGAAGUAACUCCAGUUAUCACUGGGUAACGGAUUUGUUGAGGUCUCUGAUUCAUCAGCAGGCGGCAAUGAUGGAUCAAAUUCCUGCAUCUGAGAUACCGGCUGCCAUGUAAAGCCAGAGAAAUUGGAGUCUUCUGACCAGAAAACAUCUUCUAUAAUGUCAUCGAAAGAGGCCAAAUCAGGGUUGAUGAAACCCUGAUUCACCUCUUCUGCUUGAAGCUGUCUAUUAUGAUCAUAUGGCAAGAGAUCAAGAAAUUCAUCUGAAAAUUUCUGAUACUCUAACCCGUUUUCUAGUUCUAGCCCACAAGAACUGGAUAUAGGAGAACCAUAAGAAGCUUCAGAGGAUGUGUUGGUUGUUGCCUCCUCAUUGGCAUUUUGUUGUCCAUGGUUCAAGAAUUUGGCAAACACUGCAGCCAUGUCAAUAUCAGGACAACCUGACUCUGACCCCGAUGAAGACGAGUUGGAUGACGGAUCAUUGUCAGAAUGAGGACCCGUUAAAGCCCUCGUAAACCCUUUGGUAGACCUUGAUCGACGGCUCUUACGACAACCGCCACCAACAGGGACAUUCCUGAGGGACCCACCUCUAGUCCAGUACCGCCGGCACCCCUUGCAGAAGAACCUCGGUUGAGAUAAACUGUAAUUGUUGUAGUAACAAAAUUUAGUGUUGGAGGAAGCACAACGCGGGCAGUUUGGAGCAGGGUUAAUGGUAGCCCUCCAUCUGCUGUCUGUGGUCAUUGGCAUUGGCCGUGGUGGUAGACUUUGAAAAAGUGGGUCAUUCGGCAUGGCCAUCAUAGAUUAACUAAGUGAUUUCAAGUAAGCAAAUACGUACUACAGGAUCGAGAAUUCGAGAUAGAGAGAGGAGAUGGGUGAGGAUGGAGGAUAGAGAAGAAAUGUGUGUAUAUAUAUACUAUAUAUAUAAAGGGAUGAUGGUAAUAAGAGUGAAAGAGAGCAAGCAAGUGCUGGUAAAGGAGUUGCAUGUGUGUGGACUUAGAAAUGUGGGGCUGGAAGUUAACGUGGGCGGUCGCUCUCUUCGGGCGAGCCGUCAGCACUAAGAAACUGAAACACGGGGGAGUUAUUAUCAUAAUCAUAUCAUGUGAUUUCAAUCAAUUUUUCAAUUCAUGGUUUUCAUCAAAAUGUGUAUCUAAUUUGGUCCAACUUCAUCUUAGGCGUAUCCAUCGAUUUCUCUAAAUAUACAUUUAUUUAUUGUUUUAGGACCGGGUACGUGGCGUUUCAUUAUUGGAUUCGGAGGCUCUUCCCCCUAUAUAAAUAUUGUAUCCGUUUUUAA